UUCAAUGCGUCUAAUUAAUCCCUCCUGAAAAAUGAAAACAAAAUGCAGAGAACAUCCGUUUCAAAUUCCUGGAAAUCAAUGGGAUUUGUUGAAUAUUGGUUUAUUCUUUCAAAUCAAGAGUGCAAUAGAAUGGAAUCUUCACCUCACUAAUUCACCCACAUACGUUUUUUUUCACGAGCUCACGAACUUAUAAAUUCACAUGCAUCUAGGUUUCUGUCUAACAGAUCGAAGAAGAACAGAUUUUUGUUGGUGCAUGACAUAUAAAAUCUAAAAGCAGCAUCCGUAGAUUCACACCAACUCCUCCAAACUUUUGCGGAAAACACCUACAAAUCUAUGUCAAGCUGAAGAAGACAAACACUGGAUGACCACGUUCGAAUAUCCGAAAAGUGGAAUGAAUUUGACUUCAUGAGGACAUUGACCAGCUUGGAUGUUAUCAUGAUCGAUGACAACGUAACUGUGGGGGACCUUUACAAUCAGUUGCAAAUAAAUUUCCAAGGUAUGCCAAUUCUUUAGCUAUACUCUGUGUUUGUACAUUAAUGAUUAUACAUAUUACCAGUUACUGAUAGCUAUUUUCCUGUAAAGGUCUGGUGAUAGCUAUUCCAAGGAAUCUCAUUAUUUAGUCUUAAGGAAGGUUUCUAAUAAUACUGAUAUGUCUUAUGUUGGUUGGUAAAAACAUAAAAUUAGAGUCACUUAAUGGGAAGAUUGAGAUUAGAUAAAAAUAAAUUUUGAUUGUAGCUAAAAGGUAUUUUAUAGCUAUAUGCUUUGUAUUUAUUAUUGCAAAGGUGAAUUAAGUUGUUCCAUGGAGUAUGCUAAGUAAACUGAUAUUAUUGCGUCCAUCGGUCGCUAAAAUAAGUAACUAACUCAGUGACUUUAUUGUAUUUUUUAUUGGUCCUUUUACUUGAUAAACUCAUGACAAUCGACCAUUUUAAGGAGUACAUCGACCCUACAAUUUUUAAGGUCUGUGAACAAAAAAAUAUUAUGAUGGAUUACCACCCUGUUUUGGUGGAUUGCAUUAAAUGUAUCUGCAUGGCUCUAGAACAUCUUAUGUUUCAAGUCCCAUAAUCGUAAUUGUUCUCAAAAGAUGUUUUUCAGUUUAUUGUUUCAUCCUUAUGCUUGAGUUAUGAGUUCAUUUUAUACCAGAGAAAUACCAUGAGAGUUGGAGUUUAGGAAUUAGGAUAAAGUUGAAGCUACCGAAGCAUGAAAUGAGUUUGGUAGGCCGUGGACGGUAAGAUUGUAGAAAUACCAUGUUCACUAUAUGGUUACCUUCGUCUGUGAACUACUUAACUCAGUUUGGCAUCAAUUUAAGUAUUUUAAUAGUUUUGGUAGGUUUCGUUCUGUAGAUGAAAUCCUUGCUUUAUUUUGUUUUUUCAUUGUGGAGUAUUUCGAAAUUCUUCAUUAGACAGACAAUCCAAGGUAGCCUAAUGCCGUAGUGCUCUCUUAGAUGUCCAUUUUGACUUGGUAGGUAUCUUUGCAGUCAAGCUUUGGCUAGUAAUACUAUUUCAAUUUCUCUUUUCUGAUUUAAAAGAAAAGGUUUGGCUAAUAAUAGAGAUGCAUAGUGACCCAUGCUAAAUAUUGAAAAAGUUGAUAAUUGCAACGAGUGUUAAGUAUUAAAUAUAUUAUGACGGAUUACCCAAAGAUAUUAGACUGAGGACAGCAUCGACGCAGACUCUCGAAGCGGAUUAUCACAGGUACAUAUUUUAAUCUUCACUCGAGAAUUUCAGAUACUACUCCUAUAUCCGGGGUUUCCAGAUCCAGAAAUUGGGGUUUCCAGAGGGUUUUAUUAGGCUGAUGAUGCUACUAUACAUGUUUCACUUAAUAACAUUUUAAGAAGAUAAUAUCCCCUUUCACUUUUAUUAAUGAAAUAUGCAGUAGUGGAUUGUGUUGCUAAGAAGAAUGGACGAUUCAAGAAAUAAAAUAUUUUUUAUGUGUUUGGCUGCCAAGACGAAGGUGGAGUUCAUCUAUUCAUCAUAGAUACAAAUACAAUAAAUGAAACUAAGUUGUACGCUGUGGGUUAUUUGUUAAUAUGCAUAUUCAUUCAGUUAACCAAUUAACCAUAGGCAAGUUAGUAGUUGCAUACCUAGAGAGAACAGUGAUGAGAAAAUUGCAUGUGUAACUUGCUUUAUGGAGUUGUACUCUGAAUACCAACUGAAGUAGGCAUCCAGAGUUUGUUCAUCUUCCUAAGAAACUGUGUGUACCACUAGCUUAAUUCAAGUCUUUAUUGUUGUUGGUA